AAGACCUUGCGCUUUUGGAGCGGCCGAMGUCUGAUUAGCUUGUUGGUGAGGUAAAAGCUUACCAAGGCUUCGAUCAGUAGCUGGUCUGAGAGGACGGCCAGCCACACUGGGACUGAGACACGGCCCAGACUCCUACGGGAGGCAGCAGUGGGGAAUUUUGGACAAUGGGGGCAACCCUGAUCCAGCCAUGCCGCGUGAGUGAAGAAGGCCUUCGGGUUGUAAAGCUCUUUCAGCCGGAACGAAACGGUUACGGUUAAUACCCGUGACUACUGACGGUACCGGAAGAAGAAGCACCGGCUAACUACGUGCCAGCAGCCGCGGUAAUACGUAGGGUGCAAGCGUUAAUCGGAAUUACUGGGCGUAAAGCGUGCGCAGGUGGUUUUGUAAGUCAGAUGUGAAAUCCCCGGGCUUAACCUGGGAACU
rnacentral:rRNA from 1 species